rnacentral:rRNA from 1 species
CAGCCGCCGCGGUAACACAGAGGGUGCAAGCGUUAAUCGGAAUUACUGGGCGUAAAGCGCGCGUAGGUGGUUCGCCAAGUUGGAUGUGAAAUCCCCGGGCUCAACCUGGGAACUGCAUCCAAAACUGGCGAGCUAGAGUAUGGUAGAGGGUGGUGGAAUUUCCUGUGUAGCGGUGAAAUGCGUAGAUAUAGGAAGGAACAUCAGUGGCGAAGGUGACCACCUGGACUGAUACUGACACUGAGGUGCGAAAGCGUGGGGAGCAAACAGGAUUAGAUACCCGAGUAGUCCCUGUCUCUUAUAC